ensembl:lncRNA
GAUCUGGAGAAUUAUCUGGAUCUGGUGACUUAUUUGGAUCUGGAGGCCUGUCUGGAUCUGGAGAAUUAUCUGGAUCUGGAGACUCGGCUGGCAGUGCCAGUGCUGACCUGCACAGUGGAGAAUUAGGUAUCAGCAGCACAGAUUCUUCUGGAUCAGCUCAAAGUGGAGAUGGAUCCGGCAUCACUGUUGUAUUUUCGGGCAUCGACAGCUCCUUCUCUGGAGAGGGCUUGGCUUCAGGUGGACUCCAAGAAGCUGGAGAGGGGAGCACGGGAAUCUUCAUCUUCCAUUCAUCUCAGGUCGGCUCUGGAGAGCUCAGUGGUAGCGGGGACUUGUCCGGUUCUGGAUCCGGCUCCGGUCUGGGCUCCGUUCUGGGCUCCGACCUAAGCGGCUCAUCCGCAGAUGGCUCUGGAGAAAGUGGACAGUUCUCUGGUUUCAUCACCAACCAGGACUUUUCUGGGUCAAGUGGGUCCUCAUCAGGAUUCUCCUCUGGCAGCGCUAGCGGACACUCGGGAGAGAUUUCUGGAAGCGGGGACGCACAGAUCUUACUGCUCGAUCAUGAACUGAUCGAUGCCUCCACUCGUGUUACCCACAAGGAGCAUGAGCUUGGCGGAGGCCCUCUGGCGUUUAGUGGCUCCGGAGACAUUUCAGGAUCUGGGAUUCUCAGCGGCUCUGGAAGUGGCUCCGGGUUCUUCUCGGGUGUGACCCUUGUUGGGUCGGGGUUCACUGACCUUACAGUAUCAUCCUUUGGAGAGCAGGAGGCCUCCGGGUUUCUACUCUACACCUCUGGACAUGGAAGUGGUGGACAUUUGUCUGGAUUUGGACGCUCAAGUUUCCUCUCCGGGUCUGGAUCGGCAAUGUCUCAGUCGGAAUUGUCUGGAUCGGAAAUGUCUGGAUUGGAAAUGUCUGGAUCAGGACUAUCUGAAUCAGGAAUGUUUGGAUCAGGAAUGUCUGGAUCAGGACCAUCUGGAUCAGGACUAUCUGAAUCAGGAAUGUCUGAUUCUGAGUCCUCGAGUAGAGAAGAAGGAAGUGUUACAUUCGUUACUGGGGAUAUUCUGACGGAGGCAUCUGGAGACACCACACUGGCCAUGGAGCUCGGACGGGGGUCCUUAGAGUACAGCGGAGAAGGAAGCAGUAGCAGCAGAAGCUUCCACUCUGGCAGCGGAGACACACACCGGUUCACAACCAGUGGCUCGGCAGAUUCCUCUGGAGAUGCGCCACACGUGGUGCUGCCCUCUCCAUCCAGUGAUUGGGCAGCAACAGAAAGCACCACGCCGCCAGAGGAGGCCCUUAGUGGGGGGGAACUGACGCAGACCCCUGGUGACAUCCAUGGGACUCCCUCCCCUGUGCUCGCCCCGGCAGGACUGGCUGCUCCUCCCACUGCGAGUACACCAGCCUCGGUUCAGACACCAGGCGUUGCUGAAGGAACGGAUUCGGUAGAAGGUGGUUUGAACCCGUGCAACCCGAACCCCUGCGGUGCUGCUUUAUGCACAGUGGAGGAAGGUGUCGCUUUGUGCCCUGUGUUCCCUUGAUGUCCAUGUGUUCGUUUUGUCCAUCUGUCGGCGGGUCUCUGAAUGUUUGGAGGCUCGUCAAAUACGCAUCAGCUCUGCUCGGAGGUUGCGCAGCUU